GAUGAACGCUGGCGGCGUGCCUAAUACAUGCAAGUCGAGCGAACGGACGAGAAGCUUGCUUCUCUGAUGUUAGCGGCGGACGGGUGAGUAACACGUGGAUAACCUACCUAUAAGACUGGGAUAACUUCGGGAAACCGGAGCUAAUACCGGAUGAUAUUUUGAGCCGCAUGGUUCAAAAGUGAAAGACGGUCUUGCUGUCACUUAUAGAUGUAUCCGCGCUGCAUUAGCUAGUUGGUAAGGUAACGGCUUACCAAGGCAACGAUGCAUAGCCGACCUGAGAGGGUGAUCGGCCACACUGGAACUGAGACACGGUCCAGACUCCUACGGGAGGCAGCAGUAGGGAAUCUUCCGCAAUGGGCGAAAGCCUGACGGAGCAACGCCGCGUGAGUGAUGAAGGUAUUCGGAUCGUAAAACUCUGUUAUUAGGGAAGAACAUAUGUGUAAGUAACUGUGCACAUCUUGACGGUACCUAAUCAGAAAGCCACGGCUAACUACGUG
rnacentral:rRNA from 1 species